UGGGGAAUAUUGCACAAUGGGCGCAAGCCUGAUGCAGCCAUGCCGCGUGUAUGAAGAAGGCCUUCGGGUUGUAAAGUACUUUCAGCGGGGAGGAAGGUGUUGAGGCUAAUAACCUCAGCAAUUGACGUUACCCGCAGAAGAAGCACCGGCUAACUCCGUGCCAGCAGCCGCGGUAAUACGGAGGGUGCAAGCGUUAAUCGGAAUUACUGGGCGUAAAGCGCACGCAGGCGGUCUGUCAAGUCGGAUGUGAAAUCCCCGGGCUCAACCUGGGAACUGUAUUCGAAACUGGCAGGCUAGAGUCUUGUAGAGGGGGGUAGAAUUCCAGGUGUAGCGGUGAAAUGCGUAGAGAUCUGGAGGAAUACCGGUGGCGAAGGCGGCCCCCUGGACAAAGACUGACGCUCAGGUGCGAAAGCGUGGGGAGCAAACA
rnacentral:rRNA from 1 species